UGGGUAACCUGCCUCAAAGAGGGGAAUAGCCUCCCGAAAGGGAGAUUAAUACCGCAUAAUAUGUUUAAGUCGCAUGACUUUAACAUCAAAGGAUUUUCUUUUAGAAAUUCCACUUUGAGAUGGACCCGCGGCGCAUUAGCUAGUUGGUGAGGUAACGGCUCACCAAGGCAACGAUGCGUAGCCGACCUGAGAGGGUGAUCGGCCACAUUGGAACUGAGACACGGUCCAGCUCCGUAGGAGG
rnacentral:rRNA from 1 species